GUGACAGUCGUAAAGUACAAGGUAAAGUAUGAUACAAUAACUCUGUUCCAGGUGACAGUCGUAAAGUACAAGGGAAAGUAGGAUACAAUAACUCUGUUCCACGUGACAGUCGUAAAGCACAAGGUAAAGUAAGAUACAAUAACUCUGUUCCACGUGACAGUCGUAAAGUACAAGGGAAAGUAGGAAAGAAUAACUCUGUUCCAGGUGACAGUCGUAAAGUACAAGGUAAAGUAGGAUAAAAUAACUCUGUUCCACGUGACAGUC